GCUGGGCGUGGUGACUCAUGCCUGUAAUCCCAGCACUUUGGGAGGCCGAGGUGGGUGGAUCACUUGAGGUCAGGAGUUCGAGACCAGCCUGGCCAACAUAGUGAAACCCCAUCUCUA
ensembl:misc_RNA Metazoa_SRP Metazoan signal recognition particle RNA